GUCCAGACUCCUACGGGAGGCAGCAGUGGGGAGUAUUGCACAAUGGGGGAAACCCUGAUGCAGCGACGCCGCGUGAGCGAUGAAGUAUUUCGGUAUGUAAAGCUCUAUCAGCAGGGAAGAAAAUGACGGUACCUGACUAAGAAGCCCUGGCUAACUACGUGCCAGCAGCCGCGGUAAUACGUAGGGGGCAAGCGUUAUCCGGAUUUACUGGGUGUAAAGGGAGCGUAGACGGUCCUGCAAGCCAGAUGUGAAAGCCCGGGGCUCAACCCCGGGACUGCAUUUGGAACUGUAAGGCUAGAGUGUCGGAGAGGCAGGCGGAAUUCCUAGUGUAGCGGUGAAAUGCGUAGAUAUUAGGAGGAACACCAGUGGCGAAGGCGGCCUGCUGGACUGUACCUGACGCUGAGGCGCGAAAGCGUGGGUAGCGAACGGGAUUAGAUACCCCGGUAA
rnacentral:rRNA from 1 species